rnacentral:rRNA from 1 species
AGAGUUUGAUCCUGGCUCAGGAUGAACGCUAGCUACAGGCUUAACACAUGCAAGUCGAGGGGCAGCAUCAUCAAAGCUUGCUUUGAUGGAUGGCGACCGGCGCACGGGUGAGUAACACGUAUCCAACCUGCCGACAACACUGGGAUAGCCUUUCGAAAGAAAGAUUAAUACCGGAUGGCAUAGUUUUCCCGACAUGGGAAUGAUUAUUAAAGAAUUUCGGUUGUCGGAUGGGGAUGCGUUCCAUUAGGCAGUUGGCGGGGUAACGGCCCACCAACCAACGAUGGAUAGGGGUUCUGAGAGGAAGGUCCCCCACAUUGGAACUGAGACACGGUCCAAACUCCUACGGGAGGCAGCA